CAGAAAUCUGUUCUGACAUUAAAAGGAAAUGAGUGAGAACAUUUGUGCAGACCAUAUUUUACAUCCUUCCACGCCUUUCAGGCCUUAUUGAAGAUGAAUGGAUCACCAUUGAUAAAUUUACCAGAUUCACUGAUGUUCCUUUAGCUGCGGGAUUUCAGUGGUACCUUUCUCAAACUCAACUUAGUAAACUAAAACCAGGUGACUGGUCUCAGCAAGACAUAGGUACUAAUUUGGUCGAAGCAGAUAACCAAGCGGAGUGGACCGACGUUCAGAAGAAGAUUAUCCCGUGGAACAGUCGUGUUUCCGACUUAGACCUGGAGCUCCUGUUUCAGGAUCGUGCUGCCAGACUUGGAAAGUCAAUUAGUAGACUCAUCGUUGUGGCCUCGCUCAUCGACAAACCGACCAAUUUAGGAGGUAAAACCACCUCAGCUAAUUGAUUAUCUGCAGCAGAAGAAAACAGAAGGUUAUACCAUCAUUGGAGUGGAACAAACUGCCAAAAGUUUAGACCUAACCCAAUAUUGCUUUCCUGAGAAAUCUCUGCUCUUGUUGGGAAAUGAACGUGAGGGAAUUCCAGCAAAUCUGAUCCAACAGUUGGACGUUUGUGUGGAAAUUCCUCAACAGGGCAUUAUCCGCUCCCUGAAUGUCCAUGUGAGUGGAGCCCUGCUGAUCUGGGAGUACACCAGGCAGCAGCUGCUCUCG
rnacentral:lncRNA from 1 species